UACGUAGGGCGCGAGCGUUGUCCGGAAUUAUUGGGCGUAAAGAGCUCGUAGGCGGCUUGUCACGUCGGGUGUGAAAGCCCGGGGCUUAACCCCGGGUCUGCAUUCGAUACGGGCUAGCUAGAGUGUGGUAGGGGAGAUCGGAAUUCCUGGUGUAGCGGUGGAAUGCGCAGAUAUCAGGAGGAACACCGAUGGCGAAGGCAGAUCUCUGGGCCGUAACUGACGCUGAGGAGCGAAAGCGUGGGGAGCGAACAGG
rnacentral:rRNA from 1 species